GAUGGACUGACAGCCGAUUUAAUAUAUAGAUGUGUUAUUUAUAUACAUUCCUUUUUAAAUAAAUAACUGGUUUGUUCGCAAAGAUGCUGAGUUUUUUCUUUAGUCAGGAGAAUAUUUAUGAAAUAUUUAUUUUUAUCUUUAAAACAGAAUAAUUACGAUAAUUUGGCUUCAGAGCUCAAUUAUAUAAUUUAUAUCGCAUGCUAAGAAAAUGACACACUUAUGCUUUCUGAUAAUAUAAUAAACUAACAAGCUAAAAUGUACUUACGGGGGAAUUUAGUUCCUUGUGUUUUACUUUGAAAGAAUCCAAAGGAAGUGCUUUUCACAUAUCAGUUCUCUAGCUUUACUCUGGUUGUAUUUACAUACUGAGUCCACUAGGGGGCAGAAAGCUAAGUUAUCAGUUAGAAAGUAUCCCGCUCCUGAUCGGCUAAUGAAGCCCUUGUUGCUCUCUUCGUGUUUCUGCUGUUUUAUUUCUUAAAUCUUCUUUCUACUUUAACAUGCGAUCAAUGUUUUAUCUGUCAGUGUGAACUACAAGCAGCUGCACAGAGAUGAAAACAGCCCGCAGAGACUCUGAGCGGAGCUAGCGAUGCUAGCGAUGCUAACAGGCUCCAGCAGCAGCUUCAGAGGAGCUGUGGUUCCUAAACUGGAGCUUCAGCUCCAACAGAGCUGAAACAAAGCUCUACAACUCUGGUUUAGACGCUAAGAUGUUGAGUUUCCGGUCUGAAGAGCGACGAACUGAACUAUUAUUGAUAUCGGAGCAGGGCGGUUUCUGCCCUCUAGUGGACCCAGAUUGUAACUACAGCUACUUGAUAAAGUUAGAGCGUUUACAAACGACAUACACUUCCGUUCCUUCAUUCAGAGACUCAAACUGAAAUGUUCUUUAGUGAAGAAGAAGCUUCGUCUGGAUCUGAUGUUGAAGCUGCAGUUUGAAUCCGUCUCAGGAUUCGGUUCAGAAUCCAGUUCAUGUCACUGAUCAGCAUCGUUGUGGCUCCAGAACGUGGCCCACCUCUACCUGUGCAGGCUGGAGGAGGCUAAGAGGAGGUUCUGAUGGAUCCGGUCUUUACCAGCUGUGGACACUGGUUCUGCAGGAAAUGCAUCGGGUGCUACUGGGACCAGUCUGUUCCAUUUGGACCCUCCUCCUGCCCCCAGUGUGGAGAACGACCCAGAACAGGAGCUGAACGUCUGACAGCCAAUCAGAGCAGCUGUUCUCCAGGAGGAUCAUUCCAGAAGUCGGGUCAGAACCGGCCGGUAGUCGGGUCGAUGGUGAUGGAGGCGGCGCGGUCCGAGCUGCAGCUCUUUGGAUCAUGUGACGUUUAGUUUCUUUCUGAAUGUAACGUGUUUGUUCUGGUUCUUCUUCAUGUGUAUUUAUGCCGCUGCGCCACCAGCAGAUAUUUAUUCACAUCCAAAUAAAAACUAAAUAUGAAAAA